GGCCGGGCAGCUCUCGGCGGGAAGGAAGGCCCGGCCUGCCGGCCGGCCGGCCGGGCGCGGCAGAACGCUGCCGCCGGCGGAGGUCCUCCGACCCUCCGUUCAGCGCCUGCGGACGCCUCCGGAGCGAGGCACGGGGCCGCGGGGCUCGGCCCGGCGCGGCGACCGGGGGAGCGGAGCCGCCGCACGAGGAGGGGACUGCGAGCGCUGAGCGUGCUCGAGCCGGAGGGGAGACGCUUUGUCUGCUCCAGGAGCUGGGAGGAGACGCGACCGGGACAGUGACCCGAGCUGGCCGUGAAGGGGUGUCCGGAACACACGACGUCACGCGGAGCACCAGCUGGGAAGGAUGGCCGGGGGGCGGCUGCUGCUCAGGAACUGGCCGGGCAAUCGGACGCGCGCGCGGGGUGAGACUGAGGCAGCGAGGAAACGGCUGCGCGGUGCUGAGCUGUGCGGCAGGUUGAAGCUCAGCAGCUGGAGAGGCUCCCGCACUGCCCCGGCAUCGCGGCCAGACCCCAUCGCCUUCCCCUCCCCCGACAGCUGAAGGGCCGCCCCGCUACAUAACCUGCUCCCGUAAAGCUGGCAAGCGCCGUGUGCUUGGGGUGCUGGAAGCAGCCACCGCAGGGCUGGAAACAUAGCUUUCCACCCGGAACGCCAUCCUGGGCUUUGAAAAGCAAGUCUUGUGAGAAAAACCUCAGUGACUUGCUCAGACAGGGUCGUCUGUGAAGCUGUGUUAUUCACGAUUGCAACGGCGGGGGUCCUGCAAGCGGGAGCAACCAGCCAAAGUCUAUCGUAACCUUAUAUUCCCUCUUACCCAACGCUUGAUUCCUCCCGUUUCCUCACUGGCUGAGUACUACAGGUUCACAAGCUACUCAACACUUGUUGCUAUACCAUAUAUAUCCAAUUUUACUUGACCAACUGUUAAUUUCUCCUCCCCCCCCCCCCCCCCCCCAAUCUUCUCUUGUGACCGCAGGGCCCACGAUCUCUUGCUUUUACUGAUUUUGCACUGCUCGUCCUGUUUUUCUUACCUAUCCUCCUUAUUUGGGGACAGUGGGACCUUCCCCUUACCUGUUUAAGGUCUUCUCCACUGCUGUGCUGCUGUCAUGCCCGCACAAUCACUUUUGGAUACUCAAGGUUAGUGGAAUUUUCCACCGCAAAAACACAUUCUGCUGCAAAAAUGCAACUUUUUCUCACGGUCUCACGGCAACACGGCACGCCAGAAAUAAUUGAAUCAGACAGUGGGACUCAUUUCCACAAUGACCUCAUAAACAUCUGGGCCAAACAGCAUGGCAUUGAAUGGGUAUACCACAUCCCUUCUCCUGCACCAGCAUCCAGGAAAACAAACAAACAAAAAAAAACACAAUACAGCAGACUGAUAAAGAAUAUGCUGAAAGCAAUGGGUGCUGAGACAUUCAAACGUUGGGAUGCUGUACUGGCUCUGGCUGGGAUGGAGUUAACUUUCCCUGCGGCAGCCCACACAGUGCUGUGCUCUGCACGCGUAGCUAGAACAGCACUGGUGUCACACCGGUGUUGUGUCUACUGCUGAGCGAUGCUGGCACAGCACCCGGACUCCCUCAACCCCCCCCCCCCCCCCGAGCCAGCAGGCUGGGGGUGGGCAAGAGGGGAGGAAGAAACAUCAGCAGGGCAGCUGACGUAAAGCAACCGAAGGGAUGUUCCGUACCAUAUGAUGUCACACUCAGCAAUAAAAGGUGGAAAAAGGAAGAAGAGCGGAGGGGUGGGCUCUCGCUGUGAAAACAUCUGUCCUCCCGAACAAUGGGUGGGUACGUGCGUUGAGGCCCUGCUUCAAGGACGCGGUCAAGCAUCGCCCAUUGGUGGGAAGUGGAGAGUGAUUUCUUUCCUCUGCACUUCCACACAGCCUUUGUGUUUUUUGGUGUUUUUUUUUUUUUUUUCCCCGCUUUCCCUUUAGUUAAAUUAUUUAGUAACAAUUUUCCCUUAAUAAUUAUUUUUCCUUUUAAUUAAAUUAUCCUUAUCUCAACCCGUGAGUUGUUUCUUUCCUUUUCUUCUUCCCCUCCUCUUCUGAGGAGGGGGAGUGAAAGAGCAAUUGUGGUGGAGUUCAGCUGCCUAGCAAGGUAAAACCACCGCAGAUGCACAUGUAGCAACAGCCACCUGGUUAGUCUGCCAAUCGAGCUAGCCCUGCCCAAUCAAAACUUCUACACACAUAGAAAGGGAUAAAGUCCUUGCAGCGCAUAUAUUAAAAAACAAACAAACAAACAAACAAACAAACCCAAACAUACUGGGGAAGACAGUCUGACUUAUUCCUGCCUCAGGCAAAGGCAAAGCCAUCCGUGGGAUUGCUUUUGCUCAAGGACCUGGGUGCACUUGGCGGGUGAUGCAGAAGUAUGGGGCAGUCUGAAAACCCUCAAGGGUGUCUGGGGUGAGCAUAGGCAGUCCUUUGAGUUGUACAAUGUUAGUUGCUGUAUAAUGCUGUGUGUCAUCUGCAGUUGCUAUAUGUCAACGGCAUUACGGUAAGAGUCGCUCAGAUUAACGAAGAAUGACGGCACAUGCACAGACACGCGGGGCUUUCCUUGCAUACAGGGAUCACUGUGCCUGCGCGCGCGCACACCCACCCCAACUUUCGGCGAGUCCUCCCCCACCCAGCCUCAGCACACAGGCAGCCCUGCUGCCCAGGACUUCCACGAUCCUAGGAACUCCUGCUUGCACUCACCUUCUUCCUUGCCGUAGCCCCAGCAACGCUCGGUAACCUCACCAUGCUCUAAGGUUUCUCUAAGACCUUUCUGGACCCAGCUUGGCUGCCCCCAGGCAGCAAAGGGGCCGCAAGGCAGACAAACUGCGACUACAGCCUCCUCAUCGUCUUCCUCCUCCACCAGCCCUGCAGUUGCCAUCCGCACCCAGGUGCGGCCCUUUUACGAGGAGGGGCUGCUGGGCUCACCACCCUCAUUAGCCACACCUGGGGCUCCAGUGAUGGGGGGGUCCAAGUGACAGGUUUUUAGUUUUUUUUUUUUUUUCUUUGUUGUUGUUGUUGUUGUUGUUGUUGUUUUGUUUUUUUUGUUUUUACUGGGGCCCUGUGGCAGGUUUUUACUAUCUUUUCCUAAUCUUCUUCCCAAAUGUCCCAGUUCUCUGGGAUUAAACUCUUCGUUCCACAUACAAACUUUACUAUUUCAGAUUAUUAAUGAGCCCUGUUCCAAUCAUAAAUCCACAGGACUUCGGGGAAACACUUGAAGCACUCAGCCCUCCGUCUUCCAGACAAACAAUACCACCUUUUCCACAAAGUUUACAUUUCAACAGGACCGAAUUUCAAGCCGAAUGCCAAUUUUUCUCAUGCACUUUGUUAGUAAGCCCACACAAAACAAGGAAUCGCUCCUACGUAUCCAUCAAUAUGGGGGUUUAAAAAGGUACCGAGGCCUAAAUAAAUUCGCUCUCCCCCUUCUUACCAAAUUCCCGGGGCUCAAGCCCGAACCACCAGAGAAGUGACUCUCCGUUUCUACCGCUUUGAUAAUCAGUCAGACCCCCUCCCCCCAGUACUUGGGAAACCGACCAAACACCACAGCGAAUAUACCCAAACUUCUAAACUGUUACUUAGAUAAUGCUCCCGCCUUUCUUCUCCUUGUCACACUGGAGACAUUUAAGAGGAUUACGAGAUAACACCACCGGGCCCAUACAUUGGGCACCGCCAGUCAACACUGGGAUAAAACAGCACUUCCUUUCGGUCUGUCGUGCGCUUCGUUCGUCUCCGGCCGUUCCCCUCGCGGAGAAUACGGAACCGCGGAUCGGAACUCCGCGCUCGCUUCGCGGCGAUGCUGCGUCUCACUCACACAGCGCAAUCACGCAAUCACGCAAAGAGGCCCCCUGCACUUCUCGUUCAUACCACAAGAAUAUAUCACUUAAAACAACCACCAAACUUGUUUGUAACUCGCUUCACAACAAUACUUUGUCUCAAACACAUACGCUUACACAAAUGCUUUCAACGUGACAUACCCAGACAGCUACAAAUAAGACAUACAAUUAUUGCCACUCCAGUUAAUAUCCCUCCAGCAGCUGCAAAUAUUACCCAGGUAACCUUGUCACAAUUUUGAGAGGCCCGCUUACCCUUCUCCUGCUUCUUAUACAGUCACUAGCAGGUCCGUCCUGGCUCCCAAAACUGGGAUGCAGCGGUAACCUCGGAUUUGCUCGAUCUACUCCCAAGCUCGCUAGCGGCCGCUCGGUCGGUCAGCAAAACCCCCUUGACCGCUCGGCCGGUCAGCCCGUAGGGUACCCUCCUCCCAUACGGGGACUAUGCUGCGCGCCAGACGUCUCUGCGCGAUUUACCGGCCGCCCCGGCCACGCGUACGACUUACUUACAGGCCCUUCCUGUACUGUAAAACGUACCGUUUGUCCGCGGCUUCAGGAGGUCUUUGCCUGCUCCCGCGGUGAGCGGCUGGGAGUGGAGGCUCCUCCGAGGAAAAUACUCGGGGUGCAGCUAGGGGCGUCCGCUCCGCAGUCGAUCCCGCAGCCGAGCAGAGCGUCUCCUGGCUGGCUCGCCAAACUGACUUGUGGAAAACGGAGUCCACAAUCAAUAAGACUGUAAAGUAGGUAUGUUUAGUCAGCGCUGGGCAGCACGGGGGGCAGUCCCACCAAAGUCGUGCGCACGUGACGCAGCGAUUUGCCAUGGUUCUACGCAGCAAAGAGUUACAUACGCAUGAAGUUUCACAGUACGCCUAUACCUAUUCAUAACCUGUCCCCGCUUCAUAUUAAAAUUGGUUCCGAGGAGUUAUUUCCAUAAGCUCCUCCCAUCUUCGCUUGCGCAGUGUCUCCUGGUGGUGGUCGUCGGGGGGAUGAAGGUUGACGACUCUUCCUCGUCACCGCUAGUUGACCUCUUGCCUUUGCGCAGGCUCAGUCGCUCCUUGGCUCUUGUCCGCCCGCAGGACCAGUUUCUGCCAGUUUCUUAAGACAGGCUCACACUCCUAUCAAGAGACUAACCUUGGAAAGGGGCCCAAAGCUUCUUGCUUUAAUUAAUUUGCACAAUGCACAGUAGUUAGCAAAGACGCUAAGCAGCAUCCACUAGUUUAAUGCUGUCAGCGCGCUCUCUCUACUCGGUAAGAUUCUCCUAACUCCCUCUCUCAAAAGCAGCCCUUCAGAAACAUGCCGCCCCCGCCCGCAGCAUGGGACCUGCUGCCCCGGACACUGGAGACGGCCGCUUACCCAGUGCAAAGGGACGGCAUGCGCUGCCAGGAGCGCAAGUGAGCAGAGAGCCGUUCCGCCCCGCGGAAGGGGCGGCGAGGGGGGAACCGAGCGCACGCGCUGGGCCGCGACCUGCCCUCCGCGGAGCCAGGAGCCCUGCGGCGUUCCCUCACCCCCUGCGGCGGCCGGGCGGCAGCUGCCGGGGCGCUGCCCCGCCCCGCGGCGCGGAAGGGACUCGCUCCCCCGCGGAAGGCCGACCAGCUCUGCCUUUGCACACCGACAGGAACCUCCCGAAGGAUGUGCACCGUUCCCGGAGGUACUGCAAUACCGGGACGAUGCGCGGAGCGGAGGGAGCAAGCUCCGGAUCCAACUCCCGAGCCCAAAAAUCCGUUUAAUAUAAAGUCCUCUCAUCGAGGACGUAUCAGAUAUUAAACUGAUAAGAACAGAUACUACACU